CGCCACGGCGUCAAACGAGGAGUCAAUGCAGCAAUGAAUCGUGUCUUGUGUGCCCCGGCGGCCGGGUGAGCUCCUCAAGGUCUCGGAGGGCCGAGGGCAGACACCGGCGGGCGGGCGGAGCGCUUACUGCUCUCUCUCUUCCAGGGCCGUCCGGGCGCUGAGGCUCAUAGGCUGGGCUUCCCGAAGCCUUCAUCCGUUGCCCGGUUCCCGGGAUCGGGCCCACCCUGCCGCCGAGGAAGAGGACGACCCUGACCGCCCCAUUGAGUUUUCCUCCAGCAAAGCCAACCCUCACCGCUGGUCGGUGGGCCAUACCAUGGGAAAGGGACAUCAGCGGCCCUGGUGGAAGGUGCUGCCCCUCAGCUGCUUCCUCGUGGCGCUGAUCAUCUGGUGCUACCUGAGGGAGGAGAGCGAGGCGGACCAGUGGUUGAGACAGGUGUGGGGAGAGGUGCCAGAGCCCAGUGAUCGUUCUGAGAAGCCUGAGACUCCAGCUGCCUACAGAGCGAGAACUUGACGGGGUGCCCGCUGGGGCUGGCAGGAAGGGAGCCGACAGCCGCCCUUCGGAUUUGAUGUCACGUUUGCCCGUGACGGUCCUGGCUAUGCGUGCGUCCUCAGCACUGAAGGGCUUGGCUGGUGGAUGGGGCACUUGGCUAUGCUGAUUCGCGUGAAGGCGGAGCAGAAUCUCAGCAGAUCGGAAACUGCUCCUCGCCUGGCGCUUGAUGUCCAAGGAUUCCAUCGGCAAGACUUCUCAGAUCCUUAGGGAAGGUUUCAGUUGCAAUGUAUGCUGUUGGAUUUGCCAAGUCUUUGUAUAACAUAAUCAUGUUUCCAAAGCACUUCUGGUGACACUUGUCAUCCCAUGUUAGUUUGCAGGUAAUUUGCUUUCUGAGAUAGAAUAUCUGGCAGAAGUGUGAAACUGUAUUGCGUGCUGCGGCCUGUGCAAGGAACACUUCCACAUGUGAGUUCUACACAAUAACAAAUGAAAAUAAAUUUUAAUUUUAUAAUAUGGGA
rnacentral:sRNA from 1 species